rnacentral:lncRNA from 1 species
GACAUUAUUUCUGGGUAUGUCUGUGGGGAAGUUCCUGAAAGAGACCAGCAUUUUAAUUGGUGAACUGAGUAAAGCAGGUGGCCUUCCCCAGGGUGGGUGGGCUUUACCCAAUCUGUGGAGGGCCUGAGCAGGACAAAAAGGCCAAGGAAUGGAUACUACUCUCUCUGUGUGUCUGACAGACAAAGCUGAGAUAUGGCUCUUCUGCCUGUGAGCUGGGAUCCUGCUGGCAGA